UACGUAGGGGGGCUAGCGUUGUCCGGAAUCAUUGGGCGUAAAGCGCGUGUAGGCGGCCCGGUAAGUCCGCUGUGAAAGUCGGGGGCUCAACCCUCGGAUGCCGAUCGAUACUGUCGGGCUAGAGUCCGGAAGAGGCGAGUGGAAUUCCUGGUGUAGCGGUGAAAUGCGCAGAUAUCAGGAGGAACACCAAUGGCGAAGGCAGCUCGCUGGGACGGUACUGACGCUGAGGCGCGAAAGCGUGGGGAGCAAACAGG
rnacentral:rRNA from 1 species